rnacentral:lncRNA from 1 species
CCUCUUUAAAAAUCAUGGUAAGAUAGAUACGGUCCCACAUUUUCCCUGCAUAUAUUAUAAAGGUAUGGUCUUCUCUCCUUAAAACCCUACAAAUGAUCUGAUUUUCAUGGACACAAACAAAAGGGGCAAAUAAUUUGAAGGAGAAAUGCUGCACAUGCUCUAAGGUUCGUAAGAGGAAGCAGCUAAUUGUUAGUCUUGCAGAAAAAUUA